AACGAACGUUAGCGGCGCGCCUAACACAUGCAAGUCGAGCGAGAAGGGAGCAAUCCCAGUAAAGCGGCGCACGGGUGAGUAACACGUAGGUAAUCUACCUCGAGGUGGUGGAUAACCUUCCGAAAGGAGGGCUAAUACAGCAUGAGACCACGUCUUCGCAAGAGGAUGAGGUUAAAGCGGGUCACUACAAGUAAACUCGCGCCACGAGAUGAGCCUGCGGCCCAUCAUGGUAGUUGGUAGGGUAACGGCCUACCAAGCCGAAGACGGGUAGCUGGUCUGAGAGGAUGAUCAGUCACACUGGAACUGAGACACGGUCCAGACUCCUACGGGAGGCAGCAGUGGGGAAUCUUGCGCAAUGGGCGAAAGCCUGACGCAGCGACGCCGCGUGAGUGAUGAAGG
rnacentral:rRNA from 1 species